rnacentral:lncRNA from 1 species
GCACACAAUAAUUACCUGCUCUUUUUCAAUGAUAUCAAGACACUUUAACAUGGUCUGAUUCUGGUCUUUUCUGUGGAGUAACAUUCUCAUGGAAUGGCACCACAGAGCACACAAUAAUUACCUGCUCUUUUUCAAUGAUAUCAAGACACUUUAACAUGGUCUGAUUCUGAUCUUUUCUGUGGAGUAACAUUCUCAUGGAAUGGCACCACAGAGCACACAAUGAUACAUUCUUCUUAUGAGUUCCAUCUCAAGGAUAGACGUAACAAACUGAAGUAGAUGACAUACUUAACACUCUCACAAGCUCGAACAAUUAAUUAUAUGCGAUGAUGC